rnacentral:rRNA from 1 species
UGGGGAAUUUUGGACAAUGGGCGAAAGCCUGAUCCAGCAAUGCCGCGUGUGUGAAGAAGGCCUUCGGGUUGUAAAGCACUUUUGUCCGGAAAGAAAUCCUUGGCUCUAAUACAGUCGGGGGAUGACGGUACCGGAAGAAUAAGCACCGGCUAACUACGUGCCAGCAGCCGCGGUAAUACGUAGGGUGCAAGCGUUAAUCGGAAUUACUGGGCGUAAAGCGUGCGCAGGCGGUUUGCUAAGACCGAUGUGAAAUCCCCGGGCUCAACCUGGGAACUGCAUUGGUGACUGGCAGGCUAGAGUAUGGCAGAGGGGGGUAGAAUUCCACGUGUAGCAGUGAAAUGCGUAGAGAUGUGGAGGAAUACCGAUGGCGAAGGCAGCCCCCUGGGCCAAUACUGACGCUCAUGCACGAAAAGCGUGGGGGACGCAAACAGGAUUAGAUACCCUGGUAGUCCACGCCCUAAACGAUGUCAACUAGUUGUUGGGGAUUCAUUUCCUUAGUAACGUAGCUAACGCGUGAAGUUGACCGCCUGGGGAGUACGGUCGCAAGAUUAAAACUCAAAUGAAUUGACGGGGUCAUAGCUGUUUCCU